rnacentral:ribozyme from 13 species
CCUUGCAGAUGUACAGGCUGCAGCUGAGUCGUUGGGCCCAACAAAAAAAAAAAAAAAAAAAAAAAAAAAAAAAAAAAAAAAAAA